UCGAUCCCCUGUGCGUCUCCGGAGCUGGAGACUCGGGGCCGAAGCUCCCCCCACCCCAGGGCCUCCCAUUUGAAUUCCAUCUCAGAUAGUAGCUGAGUGACCCGGGGCAAGGGACUCCGCUUAACUCUCGGGCCUCAGUUUCCUCCUCUUGACAAUGGAGGGGAUGCAACUUCUUGACCCCCGAGGUGCGUCGGUCCCCGAUCUAGGCCACUACAGACGCGUGACCCCGGCAGCCGCCACUAGACCGUUAGGAGAGACGGGGGAACCAAAGCAGCGAUCGCGAGACCCGAGAGAUGAGAGGGGCCGUUAAGGAGACCUGGGCUGCAGGGAGAGACCGAGGAGCCGGCCCAGUUCCCUUGUGUUCCACGGGAAGGCUGCGCCCAGCCCAGAGAGUAGCGUCCUCGGGUCUCCGGGGAGCAGACGCUGCCCCGUCACUUCGAGUCAACAGCAUGGACGCCAGCUCAUGGGUCACGGAAAAGCAGCUGCGAGGAGCCUCAUGUUACAAAGGAAAAGUGUCUCGGCCUUAGUUCUGCCAGGGGCCGAAAAAGAAAGAAAAGGAAAGAAGAAAGAAAAAACAGAUCAGAGAAAGAACAGACACCCCCCGUCCCACUCUGACAUUCUUCAAGGGUCUCCCGAGAGCCUGUGUCCAGGAGCCCAGUUCCCUGCCCCCAUCUUGUAUUUCAAAGCCUGGUUUUUCACUACAGGACAACUUCUGAAACAUAAACCCUAAAUGUCCUAUUAUUCUUUAUUUGAAUAAUCUUGGCCAAAUUCUGUUAACGUAACAUGAAGUGGAAAUGACAGCUAAGGUUCCUUCAGCCUCAAAUAAUAAGAAUCCAUUUUUUUUUUUUGUCCGAGUGAAGGUUCUGUAAAUUGAAUCCUAACUUGACCUUGUUUUACCAGGCAAGUUAGAUUUGUCCUCGAUCGACUUAUAUCUGGUGAAUUUUUUAAUGAUCGGGUCAAUGGUCUGUAUGUUAAUUCCAGCUUCCCUUUGCUUCACAUUAUAAUUUUGGAAGCUUUUGCUUUUUUUUUUUAAUGCUCCAUCUGUGGAGUGCAUGACUUGAAUCCGACUUUCCUCUUACCUUGUCGCUGGAUUGCGAAAACUAAUACUAGCUGGUAUUUGUGUUGUAUUACGAACAUUAUCUCAUUUUGUCUUUGCCACAACCUUGGGAUCCAAUUACAAGAAAAACAAGAAAAUUGAGGUUAAGUGCUAGACGUUGCUUUCAGAUGUGAUUUCGACGAAUUGUAUGGCGAGUCCUGAAACACGGAUCAAUGUCUAGGCACGAUGGGUAUCGGACCUGGCGUUUUAGGGGACUCCCGGGUGAGGAAAUGUCCCCCACCCACCCAGCCUGCAACUUAUAUUCAGUUUAGAGCCAGAGAGUUGCUGGGGGAAGUGCAAGGUGAGCACUGGGAAGAAUAUGGGCAAAGUGGAUCAGGAACCCAGGCUCUUUAGCCUAUGGAAGGGAAGUUUGGGAUGAUAGACAGCUAAUAUCAGCUAUCCUGAGGGCUGUUUGGGAGGCUGGGGGUGUGUGUGCAGAGACAAUGACUUCAGACGGAUGUAAAGAAGCACUUUUUAAUAGUCGGCAGUGUCCAAAGUACAGCGGGCUGCCCAGAGUGGGCCAUUUGCCUUUCCUGGGGUGCAUCUCCCAGGAGGCAGCAGGAGGGAUCUUGAGGGAUGGCAUCCGAGGGAAGGGGGAGCCAGCCAGCCGCAAAGCCCUUCCCAAAGGGGAGAUCCUGGUGGUUUCUCCGCUCCGGGCCUCGGCUGCCCUGGUUUUCCCUCCUCACCCUGCCCAGCGACAUACAGAGGUACCGGAUCUCUUGCCAGCGUAUACGA